GUUUGACAGAGUGUACAGACAACUCUUUUACCAGUUGGCCUGAAAUACUCCCAUACUUUGGAAGCUUUUGCUCUAACUCUCGGAGGAAACUCUUCUCGCAUGUCC